rnacentral:rRNA from 1 species
UGUAAGCGUAUACCAAAGUUGUUGCAGUUAAAACGCUCGUAGUCGGACUUUGGCAGUUCCGGAUGUGUGCACGUCGUGUGCGCACUUCGCGGGGAUUGCUUUUGUGGUCUUGCGUAGGAUGAGGCACUUUUAUUAGUGAACGUCCUCACGCAACCACUUUUUACUGUGAGAAAAUCAGAGUGCUCAAAGCAGGCAUUUGCCGUGAAUGUAUUAGCAUGGAAUAAUAGAAUAGGACUUGGUUCUAUUUUGUUGGUUUGUUGGGACUGAGUAAUGAUUAAGAGGGACAGUUGGGGGCAUUUGUAUUUCGGUGCUAGAGGUGAAAUUCUUAGAUUACCGAAAGACAAACUGCUGCGAAAGCGUCUUCCAAGGAUGUUUUCAUUGA